GGAAAGGCAGAUCAGAUUUACAGAGAGGAGACACAAAGAGAAAGAUCCCCCGUCCGCUGGUUUACUCCUCAAGCGGCUGCAAUGGCUGGAGCUGAUCUGAAGCCAGCAGCCAGGAGUUUUCUCCAGGUUUCCCACGCGUGUGCAUGGUCCCAAGGCUCUGGGCCUUCCUUCUCUGCUUUCCCAGGACACAAGCAGGGAGCUGGAUGGGAAGCUGCAGGCGGACUCCAACCACGCUCUCCGUUUCCGCGCGGCUCCGCUGUCCGAUUUCCUGGGACACGUGUGUCUCUAAUCCCCCCCACACGUCACGACCAACUGUCGUCCACCGCCCGAGACUCUCUUGCCGGACGAGGAGCUACUCAAUGGUCGGAAGAGCUUGGCCUCUCUAGCUCUUCCCCGGGGCUCGUCGAUGGUUUCCGGAGGCUUCACCGGAAACUGCGGAGAGAGGGGUCCAGGAGGCCGGAAGUGCGCCCUCACCCCUCGCCGUUUGAAAAUGCUGCCCAGGCCGUAGGGCCUACGGCGGCCACCUGACCCUCCGGCCGGCGGGGGAAGCGACUCAUGGAGCGGCCGUGAGGCUGCAAGUUCUUUACUGCCAAGAUGACAUCAUAUUCUACUUCUGCCCAGUGUUCCACUUCUGACAGUGCUUGCAGGAUCUCUGCAGAACGAAUCAAAAAGGUACGACCAAAACUGCCACUGUUGAAGAUCUUGCAGGCAGCUGGUGCACAAGGUGAAAUGUUCACUGUUAAAGAGGUCAUGCACUAUCUCGGCCAGUACAUAAUGGUGAAGCAGCUGUAUGACCAGAAGGAACAGCAUAUGGUACAUUGUGGUGGAGAUGUGUUGGGAGAGCUGCUGGGACGACAGAGCUUUUCUGUGAAAGAUCCAAGCCCUCUGUAUGACAUGCUAAGAAAAAAUCUUGUCACCUUAGCUACUGCUGCUACAGAUGCUGCUCAGACUCUCGCUCUCGCACAGGAUCACAGUAUGGAUAUUCCAAGUCAAGACCAACUGAAGCAAAGUGCAGAGGGGAGUUCCGGUUCCAGGAAAAGAGCCGAAGAACGUGAUAUUCCCACACUGCCUACCUCACAGCAUAAACGCAGAAACUCUCAAGAAGAUGAAGACUUGAUAGAAAAUUUAACCCAAGAUGAGACAUCUAGGCUGGACCUUGGGUUUGAGGAGUGGGAUGUAGCUGGCCUGCCUUGGUGGUUUUUAGGAAACUUGAGAAACAACUAUACACCUAGAAGUAAUGGCUCCACUGACUUACAGACAAAUCAGGAUAUAGGUACUGCCAUUGUUUCAGACACUACAGAUGACUUGUGGUUUUUGAAUGAAUCAGUGUCAGAUCAGUUGGGUGUUGGAAUAAAAGGUGAAGCGGUUCUUAUUGGACAAGCAAGUGAAGAAGUAGGGAAAGUGAGUGACAAAAAGAUGGUUGAAGUGGGGAAAACUGACGACCCUGAGGACUCUAAAUCCUUAAGUGAUGACACUGAUGUGGAAGUCACCUCUGAGGAUGAGUGGCAGUGUACAGAGUGCAAGAAAUUUAACUCUCCAAGCAAGAGGUACUGUUUUCGUUGCUGGGCCUUGAGGAAAGACUGGUAUUCAGAUUGUUCCAAGUUAAGCCAUUCCUUUUCCACCUCUGAUAUCACUGCCAUACCCGAAAGGAAGGAAAAUGAAGGAAUUGAUGUUCCCGACUGCCGAAGAACCAUUUCAGCUCCAGUUGUUAGACCUAAAGAUGUAUAUAAAAAGGAAGAAAGAUCCAAACUGUUUGACCCCUGCAACUCGGUGGAAUUCUUAGAUUUGGCUCAUAGUUCUGAAAGCCAAGAGACUGUCUCGAGCACGGGAGAACAAGCAGAUAACCUCUUUGAACAGAGGACAGAUACAGAAAAUAUGGAGGAUUGUCAGAGUAUCUUGAAGCCCUGUAGCUUAUGUGAGAAAAGACCACGAGAUGGGAACAUUAUUCAUGGGAGGACGAGCCAUCUUACCACUUGUUUUCAUUGUGCUAGAAGACUAAAGAAGGCCGGGGCUUUGUGCCCUACUUGUAAGAAGGAAAUUCAGUUGGUUAUUAAAGUUUUCAUAGCAUAGCUGAAUCAGGGAGUUGCAGAGAAAGAGCCAGAGAACCAAGUCAUACUGAAAACACCAGUGUUGAGCAUCUCUCCCCAGUCACCUGGCAUCUGCGCAGUGAUUCAUGUCAGCACCUGUGUUCCUGGACAUUUUUCUUCUAAACAUGUGUGGGACUUCAGAGUUCUUUAGAACUAGAUAAUCGACUUUGGGGGUUUCACUAACAGAUACCUAAGAUCCACUUAAGAUACCCACAGGAACAACUGUGGAAGUAGAUCAUCCUCAUUGCCAAUCCCCCUCAAAUGGAAAGUGAACAAAUGAAUGCAACUUCCUAUCCCUGAGCCCACCCUCUCUCCCUGCAGGCCUGUCUUGGG